UGUGGUAAGCAGUGUGUUUGGCUGCUCUGACCUGAGAAGUACUGUGUGCUUGUAGAACUUUGGAUAUUUAUGCUUACUGAAGUUAGACCUACUGAGAAUGAAAUCUUUCUACUGAGUUGUGCUUCAUGUGAAAUUUUUAAGAACACUUGUCUAAAUUCUAUUCAUCCCUAGAGGUGAAAAGAAGGCUCUCAUCUUCAAGGACAGAACAUCUUUGGACUACUG